rnacentral:rRNA from 1 species
CCCUUAGAUGUUCUGGGCUGCACGCGUGCUACACUGAUUAUUUCAACAAGUGUUUUAACUGGAGAGUUCGCGUAAUCCUGAAAUGUUAUCGUGAUGGGAGUAGAGUAUUGUAUUUGUUAAUCUUUAACGAGGAAUUCCUAGCAAGUGUAGGUUUAUAAGUUGUUCUGAUUACGUCCCUGCCCUUUGUACACACCGCCCGUCGCUCCUACCGAUUGAUUGAUCCGGUGAAUUACAUAGAAUUUUGCGUUUUACAUGACGGAAGACGAAGUGUUUUAAACCUUAUCAUUUAGAGGAAGGAGAAGGCGUAACA